CCCUAGGCGACUCAGAAACUAUAUUUGAAGCUUAAAACUGUAACAGGAAGUUGGAUUACGAGGCUUAAUGGAAACACAACUCGAACUUUUUCUCGGGUGUGGGAGGGGUGUAAAUA